rnacentral:lncRNA from 1 species
AAAAAAGGGCUACUCUUGCUGAUACAACAGAUUCAACAGAACUUAUACAAAAAAAGGGCUUCUCUUUCUUGUUUUAUCUUCUAUCUAUCAUAAGAACUGAUACAACAGAUUCAUUUAAAUUGUUGCUCACAAAAAAAGGGCUACUCUUGCUUUACUUAGUGUUACGAAAAGUACUACAAAGAUUACUAUAAGAUUUGUGAACUCAAGGCCGUACAUAAGUUGUACUGAUCCACAUGGGAAGAUUUGCUAUGUACAGCUUAUGGAAUCAUACAAGAUACAAUUUUUUUCAUCUUUUUUAAGCCAUAACUACACAUCAGCAAGUCUAGCAGUGCCACCUCUCGACAUAUUCUCCUUUGCGCUAGUUACCAGUCUUGUUCCUUGGCGAAGCCUCAAUUCCUAUAAGAUCAAAAGGGCAGGCAUGAGAGAAAGAUAAAUGGAACACUACUUGUGCAGUCUGAUACUUUUUUGGCAUCCUGUAGUGGUUAUAGUCCUUUAGUUACAACAUUUCGAUAAAAAAAUCGUGUGUUUUGCUACAGAUUACAUUACUUGAGAAUUUUUGUCUGUUUUCAACUUUAGGUCACGGAGAACCAGUAAGUUCUACUACUGGUGUAGAACCAUUUCAAGUAGGGAGUUAUGUUCUUGCGCCUACAUAUUACAAUAUUGAUUUCUUACUCUAGAUUCUAGUAUCAGAAUCCAAUGAUGAACAAGGCUUUAUAUACUACAGUGCAUUUCAGACUUCUUUGAAGUUUUAUUCAGAAUGUCCUAGGUCAAGGCUCUGGGCAAAAAUGUAGUUUCAGACUGAGCUUUUUUUAUAUAUAAAGGUAUGAAAGGCAUAGUAUUUAGACGAGAAGAAUGGGGAGAAACCUGCAUGUGACAUACAUAACAAAAUGUUCAGAACUAGUAUCGCAACAUAAUAAUAUGUGAGUACAAGUGUGCAACACAACAACGCAAUUGUACAAGUGAUACCAGGACACAAGUUAUCUACAUUCCUUUGAUUACACUACUCUGACUAGAAUUUAGUAACUAACACUAGACUCCUAUCAAGAUAACCUAUUAAGAUUAGAAUGAAUAGGAAACUCAAGCGUACUCUCAGUUCAGAGAAGUGCAAGCAUUCGGUACAGCUAGACUCAACCUAAAACAAUGACUAGCUCCGCACGAAAUGAAAAAUUAUCGAAUUGACAAGCUCCACACGAACUGAAAAACUGUCAAACUGAAGAGCUCUAGAUCAAUAUUUAUGUGGUGAGAAUCUUCUUUACCUAUACUUGAACUUGUCCUAAAUGCAUUACAUGAAAAGGGAAAGGGAGAGGAGUCACCAAACCUGACAAAACUUCAAAUGGAUUUAGCAGUGGAGCAUUUGCUGAGUAGGUAAUGGAGUUGGCUGGAGCAUUGAUGCAAACCUGAACGUACGGGACAAGGGCCUCUAUCCUUCUGUGCAGGCAAGUCUGAACUGAUACAAACUUCUUUUUGCCUAGCUACUAAUUUUUUUUAUAUAGCCAGCUAUAUUUUUUAACACACACAUUGAACCGUUUCUGGGGUUCUUAACGAGUUGAUAAUAGAAAACAUGUUGAACUGAACUUUGGGCUUCCAAAAACUACCAAAUGUUUUUGGGUUCAUUUAUGUACCUUUUUGUUAUCUUUUUCUCAACUCCAAAGCCACAAUUAUAAUCACAAUACACACAUGUACUACAGAAUUAGCCAAAACAACUAAUUUAAUCCAGAAACAGUUUCUGAACUUGGUUUGAGCUUCGUUUCUUCAGAUUCUUGAACUUUUGCAGAAGGUAUGCCUGAACUUGCGUGAAUGACAAAAAUGACACAUAGUUUGUUCUGAUUUUUUAUAAGAUGAAUUGAAAACAUAAAAUGGAGUACCUCCAUGGAGUAUCUCGACGAAUUGGAGCUUGUGCGUAACAGGAGGAGGAGGAGCAACUGAUGGAGCAUCUCAAAGACGGCGCCGCGCCUCCACCAUGAUGGUGCAGCCAGAGUUGCGGCAUCCAGGGGGCGCUCGACGACGCGCUGGGUGAGGGGGCCAGUGGUGGCACGCUAGGGUAGAUGGGGCAGUCCGCAGCUCGCAUGGGGAGGGGCCGAUCGGCGGCGCGCUGGGGGAGGGAGCCGGGCGGCGGCGGCGCACUGGAGGAGGGAGCAGGGCGGCGGCGUCGCGCUCGGGGAGGGAGCCGGGCGGCGGAGGCGCGACGGGGAGGGAGCCGGGCGGCGGCGGCGCGACGGGGAGGGAGCCG